rnacentral:lncRNA from 1 species
UAAAGGACCAAGAGAUAGAGAAUUAAAAAUAGACAGAGGCAUAACACUAACAGAAGCUCCUAAAUCUAGCAUGGCAUUGUCAAACUUAUUGUUCCCUAUAAUACAAGGUAUGCUGAAUGUACCUGGAUCUUUACAUUUUUCAGGGAUUUGGGAAAUAGAUUUACCAAUCAAUGCGGAGACAUUUCUGCCCAUACUAAUUCUUUC